GCAGUUUGUACCUUUGUUUAGGGUUCUAUUGAACUUUCUCUGUGCUCUUUAGAAAACCGUCGAAUAAAGAACUCAAAUGAUGCUGUUUUUGGACAGGGAGGUCAUGGACCAAGUACAAAGCGGCAAAAGGAUGGAAUUAAGGUACCUGACAUUGUUGAACCCAUGCCUGAUGCCACAUUAGCUCAGGACUACCUACAUGGACAUACCUCAGAAUUCUCUUUAUUCUGGAAUUGGUUGCAUAUGAAAGAGGAAGAAUAUGAAGGAUCACGGAGGGAGUUUUUACGUGCCAGACCUAGAUAUAAUGUGUAUCAUUCCUACCUGCAUUUCAUCACCUGGAAACCAAUUUCAUGGCAGCAUGCAAUUGGAUAUUUCCAGUGAAAGAAAGAAGAAAGCAUGCUUUUCUCUUGACUGUGCAGAAAAAAAAACUAUGUUUCUUUGAUUCUCCAUUUUACUAGAUGCCAUACCUUUGCAAUUACUUCAUGUGGAGUCUUGACCAAGAUUCAGGAAAUACUAGAACUUUCAGUCCCAGAAGGUUACUCUGGGCAUUACUAGUCCCCAUCAUUAUGAGUUGAGUUUUACUAGUUAAUUUCAGACGAAAAAUAUUUGUUUUUCCCCAAAUUCUGGGGUUACGUACUUUUACUACCUAUGAACUGACAACUGUAUCUUCAGUAAUUACAAUUUCCAACAAAAUGUUAUAGGAAUAAAGAAAAGAUGUUAGUUCAUUAUUCAGAGUUUAUGUUUAUUCCUUUAAUAAAAAGAAAUGGUCUGUA